GAACCAUAACAGAUUUAGUUGCUGUAUGCCUGUGAUAUACUCUGGGAUCUCCUCUGCUAGCUCUUGCUCCUGAUUAAUACAGGUGUGUGUCCCCUACUGGAGUUCAUAAGAUGUCAUGCCACAAGUUUCUUUCAGACAAUGAUUGAUGCUUGCCCACUUUGGGGUGCUGCAAGAUGUUAGAAUGCCUGAGAUUGUGUGAUACCUAUGAUGCUGAAGGAAAGGCCACAGUUGUCUUUACCCUGCAAUCAGUUUCAUCAAGAAGGCAGUGGAGCCUUUACUAAAUAUCCUGGAUCAUGUCGUAAGGGACGCAACACAUCAGCAAUAACAAGGGAAAUAACACGAAACAAGUUUGUGUGAUGCCAGCAAGUCUCACCGCAGUGAGGCAUUCACUUAUCCUUCCCUCCUUUCUGCGUGUUCACUUCGACCACCUUGCCUGGCUUUUCAACAAGCAUUUCAUGUCCUGAUCAUUGAUCAGUGGAGAAUGCUCGAUGUGUUCAUUAUGGUUCUGCAGACAACUAUAUUGUUCCUUGGGAUGACUGUACAUCCAUCCGUUGGUAAUUAGUGGCAUGCUGAGGAUUUUCCAUUAUUGAAGAUGUUGGAGGUAGGCUACAGUAUUACAGAUUAGAUUUUGGAGUACUGCAUAGACUUUUUUGCAAAGCAAGUUUGGCAACAUUUGAUUCAAAGAGUUACUGAUUUCUAUUAAUAGUCUAAGUUGCUUUUCACUAGCUCUCUGCUAUUAGUAAAGGCUGCACUUGUUGUCCUUUAUGGAUGUAAGACUUGUUUAGAUCUUGAUUCUCUUUUGCUAUUUUAUGUCAUAUAGAUCUUCUUCUAGGCCUUUUUUUCCAUUUAUUAGAACAAACACUGAUAGGAAAAGUACAAUGUCUGUGAAUAACACUCCAUUAAGUUUAACUUACAAAGUUGAGUGAAUUAACUCAGAUUCUCACAUUUCUAAGAGCUCUGUCAAAAUCCAGUGCAGAUGUUGGGGCUAAGGGAUGACAAUGAGCAGAAAUUUGAACAAGUGAAUAAAUUUGUUGACGGAACAACAAAUGAUGGUAUUUUCACACAACCUGGUAUUUUUUCAGAAGUAAUGGUUUGGAUCUGUGUCUCAUAGAAGAUUGUAAAGAUAUACACCUACAAAGAUUUUUUGUUAAGUAAGCUCAUCUCUGUUUCAAGCCAUAGAGGAAUAGGUUUGCUAUGAUGUAUCCCUCCUUCGUCUUGUCUUGCACUGAAUAAUUUGUGGGAAUUAAGAAAAAGCAUUUAGCCCCAGCAUUAAGCAUUUAGCCUGGCUUACCUUGGGGUGCAGGUGCUGCCUCACAUGUAUUUGGAUUGCUUACAGGCAAGUCUAUCAGUACGAGCCUAAGGCUCCAAGCAGCCGACUGGAAUGUAUAUUGCCAGAUAUGUUGAUUUACAGUCAUUUGGAUGUUGAUGACUUGCCCUAUCAUACAGGGCAGCGAUGUGAAGGUAUGAGAAAUGGUUGCUGCAUAAACAUUCUGUUCUUCUGACAAUCAUAUCAGUCUGUACUCUGCUGCCCAUUGUGUUUUCACUGAAAAGGUUGUGUAUAUAAAGUAGUCAGUGUGACCACUGACAUUUACUGUGCAUUUUUAAAGAAAAACUUCUGGAGACACAAUGUGUAUGUGUGUAAGGAGGUAAUGCACCACAUUUUUUGCCUUCCUCAGUUUUUAUUCAAAUCUUGCUGUUAUAUUUAUUGUUAUAUGAUAAAAACAAACAAACCAGCAAAAGGUGUAAUUAUGGUCUUUUGAAUCUGAAAACAGUUUUAAAAGCUUUGAAUUCUGAAUCAGAUCAAAGUAGUGUAUAUAACGAGACAGUCUUUGCUAGAGUUCUCAUUGGUUGCAACCUUCUAAAUGUAAUAAAACAAGUGAAGUUGAUCUCCCUUUCCUGUUUUAAUUAUGUGACUAAAUAGCCGCAAUCUCCAGCUGACAUUUUAAUAGUAAGGGGAACUUACUGUGUUUUUUUCCUGAAAUGGAAGUUUCUCAUGAAAUCCUAAGGAACAUUUCAGAUAGCUGUGAUGGAAACAAUAAUUCUGAUUAGCUCACAUUUGACUAUGUUUAAAUACAGAGCAUUUUGGCAUUCAAAACAGUAUUGCAAGGGCUGAUAUCUCAGCUCUUUUUAGCAUACAGUGUUGAAUACACAAACGUGCACAACUUGAAAUCACACAAACGUGAAAAUCUGCAAUUCAGAAUCUAAAUUGCUUCGAUAAAAAGACACAAAAUAUUUGCUUUAAAUCUAAAUGCAAAGUACCUUUAUGCCUCUAUUUUAGGAAGCAAAAUUGGUAACUGUUUUUUUCUACAAAGGAAGCAUCUCUCCUCUGUACUUUAGUACUGAUUAGUAAAUGGAUAUGCAGAAAUCUCUGUAUGAAAUUAGACAAGCAUGAAUCUGUGCACUCCAAUAUAUUUAAUACAUGUUCCCUAAGACCUCAACAACUAAAGCUAAUGCUCCCUCAGCUCCAUUGAACUAAUUAAGUUAGGUUGUUAUGUUAAUAAUGGGCUGCCCUUCUGCCUGCAUUUAUAGCACUUAGCAAGUCAGUGUGUGUGUGUGGAUGCUUACUGCAUGAAGGAGAAAGCUUCUGUCAGUGAAUUAGAUUAAUCCAUCACGAGAAUUAAUGUGACAUGAUUACUGUUGAUAUAUGUGAAGAAGCAGGCGUGCACGAACUUGAUG